CUUCCCAUAACUUAGCCUGCACCACUGGUGAGCCAGCACCCUUCCUUGUAGGUGAUGAACUUACAAAGGGAUAAGUUUUCUGUUAUCUCCCCUCAAAAAUGCAAUGCUUUUGGGGCCCUGAUACCAAGAGGUAUACAUGCCUCUAUGGUUGCGGUACAACUGAGACUAAAUCAGCAGCAGCCCCGUUGGGGCUACAAACACAUCACAGCACAGGAUUAAAAGUAGGCGCAUGUGCACACAUACGACUGCGCAUGCGCACCCUUCCAGGCAUGCUCACGCAUACGCCCGCGCAUGCACAUCUGCACAUACGUAGGCACGCAUGCAUAUGCGCAUGCGUGCUUGCACAAAGCACAGUAAAGAGCAAAGGGAAAGGAAACCAAGGGGCAUGGGAUAUUCUCACGGGCACUUUUCCUGCUGAGGUGCAGCAGCUUCAGGGGACCUAGGCAGCAGGGGUGGAGGCCGUGGCUUUAACAUCCAAGGUAUGUGGAUGCAUAAAUCUGAACUCUCCAGUGAAUCAGCGCAUCUGUGAAAAGACUAGAAAAAGCUGUCCAUAAAAGUGAAGGCAGUAAAAGUCGCCUUGCCAUCUCUUUGAAGCUCUUGAGUGAGAAAUUAAAACCUAAAUGAAUAUCCGGGCACCUGGGUGGUCAGUCCGCGAAGCGUCCAAAUUCGGCUCAGGUCAUGAUCUCACGGUUUGUGGGUUAGAGCCCCACGGUGGGCUCACUGCUGUUAGUCACUGCAGAGUCUGCUUCGGAUCCUCUAUCUCUGCCCCUUCCCAGCUUGUGCUCUCCGCACCCCAAAAUAAAUAGUUUUUAAAAACCUAAAUGAGUAUGGAGGUCCAAAUGUACACUAAAUGGCGUGGCAAAGGCAGUCACAUUUUUUUUUUCAUACAGAAACUGUUACCUUGGGAGUACCUUGGGAACCACAGAAGAAGCUAACUCAACCCCACUGUAGGAACAUUCCUAUAGCCCAGUGUGCUUGGGGGCCCCAUGCUCUCUAGGGGGGAAAACAACCUCUGCUGAGUAUUAGCUCAGACUCAGAAGUUACAAACAGCACAAGGAAGAAAUCCACCAUGAGGUCAGCACACACAGCAACCAGACAUAUGUGAAUCCCAACAAGGACUGGGGGAGGAGGCAAGGCAGAGAAUAAUCUGAAAGAUGGUGGGUUUGAAAUUAUUAAAUAUAGAAGUUUUUUUUAAGUCAUAACAGAAGAAUGAGACAUUAUGAUAAAAACGAACGGGCAGAAUUUUUAAAUGGCCAGGUGAAUAUAAGAACUAGAAUAGAUUAAAUGACAGCAUAACGCUAAAUAUUACUAAUGAAAGAAUAAAUGAGCUGGAAAAUAGAUCUGCGGGAAGCAUCUAACCACAGGACAGAGUGAUAAAGGGAUGGAAAAUACUAAAGCAAAGUGAAUAACCUAGAGAACAGAAUGAGAAGGUUUAGAAUACUUAAAACACAAUCAGAAGAAAAGAGAAUCGUCGCUUGUCCUUAGGGGCUUGCAGCUCAGAGCAAUGUGAUGCCACUAUGCACCUUAUUAGAACGGCUAAAACCCGAAACACUGACAACAUGAGAAAUGCUGGUGAGGAUGUGGAGUGACGGGAGCUCAACAGGGGACACGAAAUGGCACGGCCACUUCGGAAGAGGGCUUGGCAGUUGCCCACGAGGCUACACACCUUCUUACCACACAAUCCUACCAUCGUGCUCCUAGGUCUUUCCCCAAAUGAGCGGGAAACAUAUGUCCACACAAAACCUGCACACGGAUGUUUAUGGCGGCAUUAUUCAUAAUUGCCCCAACUUGGAAGCAGCCGAAAUAUCCUUCAGUAGGGGAAUGAGCAAACUGUACAUCUAUGCAAUGGCAUAUUAUUCACAAACAAAAGCAAGCUGUCAAGCCAUGGAAGGACGUGGAGGAACUUAAAUGCAUACUGUUCUCAGCACAAGCCCUGCACUGUAGCCACUGCUGCCCAGGAGCUUAAAGGAAGGAUCCAAAAGACCUCUGAAGUUCCCAUCAUGUGCAUUUCUAGCCAUAAGUACAACAUGGAACAGACGCCAGAUGAUUACGAAGCCCCUCGGUUCUAAUUCUGAAUAGAGUUCCUCUGCCUUCAUUUAUCAACUUUUACUGCUGCCAGUUCGUAUAGCAAUAUGCUCCAGCUUGAAUUAUUCCACUUACCCAUUUGCUCUGUUAUGGGCUGAGUAUGGUUAAAAACACUCACUUUUUGAUGUUUUGAAAUUGAUAUUUUGUAUCAUUUUAAAUUUUGUUGCAUCUUUUUAUAAAUCAGAUGACUGCCCACGUUUAAAAAAAGAUGCAUGUUGGGGCACCUGCGUGGCUCAGUCGGUUGAGUGUCCGACUUCAGCUCAGGUCAUGAUCUCACGGUUCGUGAGUUCGAGCCCCGUAUCGGGCUCUGUGCUGACAGCUCAGAACCUGGAGCCUGCUUCCAAUUCUGUGUCUCCCUCUCUCUUGGUCCCUCCCCCCCUCAUGCUCUGUCUCUUUC